AUGGUCUAGAGCGAAAAACUUCCACUCAGUCUGGUAACGUUUAUUCCACCUUUUUCAAACAUUGCGAUAUCCAGAUUCGCCGCUCUCAAGAGACAGACGGCUACCUUUGUUUCGUCGGCGGUUCCCAGAAUGAUUUGAAGCAAAACAAAAUAACCGGAAAGUCGUACCAAAAAUCGGAAUUAUAUUGAACCGGUUUUAGUUAUUUUUUUCUUUGUCGUGAUAAGGCCUAAACAAAGGUCGGCGAUUAAACUAGGUAUGUACGGGUAUAUAAAUCAUUGUUCUGUCAUUCUCUGAAAGAAGAAAUAUUAUCACUGCAUGUCACUUUCCUCGUCUUUAUUUACAUCCUAGGACACAUUGUUAUACAGACACACUUUCUUCAACUACUUCUUCGCCUUUCGUUAGAUUCCAAUUAUAAAACAGCUAACUAUUUUCUAACUAAAUUCUCUUUUGGCCGGAUUUAUCUCCAACCAUUGAUCAUUUUAAAGCUCCAAGGAUUGAGAUUUAAUAUGCCAGAUCUAGAAAAGAUAUAUUUUUGCCAUUUAAUAACAACCAUUCGAUCAACAUCUCUUCCUCUUAUUUUCGACGACCCAGAUUACUCUGCACAUUUAAGGUUCUUCUUCUCUUCCUUACGCGUCUAACUUUUGUUUUGUGUUCAUCAGAGAAAAAGCUUGAAACUUUGAUAAUUAAUCCCAGAUUCUCAAUCUUGAUUAUUGGAUUCUAAGUUGUGGUUUGUGAGGUAUCUUCCAUAAAUCCACCGUCCAUCGUAAAAUUAUGUCUUUCCGGUAAUCUCUAACCCCGAUUCCUAAUUCGAUCUCUCUCUAACUCGAUUCAUCACAGUUUCACGAUACAUCGUCGAAGUUAUCACCUUUUCUUUCUUCGCCAACUAUGCCGCCACGGCUUCCUCCCUUACGCCGUCCAAAAGCCUUAGGCCACCCUUAAUUUUCUUGCCCUUUCAUCUUAGAGAACAUCAAAUUGUUUAAAGAUGUUCUCUCCUCAUUCGCAUCCGUCGCAUCAAAAUCUCAUCUUCCUGCUGAAUUCUAUGGCGGAUACGUUGUCUCACUUAGCUUUGGGUCUCUGAUAAUAUUUGUUUGUCUGGAAAAUUUAUUUACAGAUUGAAGAUGAUGUAUUACAUUAGUUUGUUUUGUAAGCUGAAAGCAUAUUUAGGCAGCCUAGAGCAAUGCAGGCUAUGAACACUAGUUUCACUUUGCAGUGUCGUUUUUAAGGCUUGAUUCUCGUCUUAUUCCUCCUGCAACUUCAUCGAAAGCACUAACAUUGAUGUAUAUUGUACAAUCAAUAUCGUAUCCACGUGUAUAUAUAAUUUUUGCUGUCCA